GACAUGGGUGGCAAACGUUAUCCGGAAUUAUUGGGCGUAAAGGGUGCGUAGGCGGUUCCGCAAGUCCUGUGUGAAAUCUUCGGGCUCAACUCGAAGUCUGCACGGGAAACUGCGGGGCUUGAGUGUGGGAGAGGUGAGUGGAAUUCCCGGUGUAGCGGUGAAAUGCGCAGAUAUCAGGAGGAACACCGAUGGCGAAGGCAGUGGUCUGGGCCGAAACUGACGCUGAGGAGCGAAAGCGUGGGUAGCGAACAGG
rnacentral:rRNA from 1 species